UAAACACCUUCAAAAUGACAGCCUUCCCUGAAAGGGGCACUGAAGAAGUGAGUGUCUGUUAGUUCUACAGUAGUAAGGAAGCCAACUCUGCCAACAGUCAUAUGAAACCGGAAGCAGACCCUGAGCCCUACAUGAGACUGCAGUCCUGGCCAACAUAGUGACACCAUCUAGCAAGACAGAGACUAUGAGGUGAUGAAUACAUUAUCAACUGCUGUAUUUGUGGAAUGCUCUGGAACAGAGGGUCGAAAGGGCCAGUUUAUGUUUAGACACCAUGGUGCUGAUAUAGGUAUCUGGUAACAUGACUGACACUGGACAAACCAGAAGACUAAGUCAAAACAAAAUGGUUGACUCUGGAAACCCCAAAGCAAACAGAUAAAAUGUAUUAUGUU
rnacentral:lncRNA from 1 species